rnacentral:rRNA from 1 species
GACGAACGCUGGCGGCGUGCUUAACACAUGCAAGUCGAACGGAAAGGCCCUGCUUUUGUGGGGUGCUCGAGUGGCGAACGGGUGAGUAACACGUGAGUAACCUGCCCUUGACUUUGGGAUAACUUCAGGAAACUGGGGCUAAUACCGGAUAGGAGCCCCUGCUGCAUGGUGGGGGUUGGAAAGUUUCGGCGGUUGGGGAUGGACGCGCGGCUUAUCAGCUUGUUGGUGGGGUAGUGGCUUACCAAGGCUUUGACGGGUAGCCGGCCUGAGAGGGUGACCGGCCACAUUGGGACUGAGAUACGGCCCAGACUCCUACGGGAGGCAGCAGUGGGGAAUAUUGCACAAUGGGCGGAAGCCUGAUGCAGCGACGCCGCGUGCGGGAUGACGGCCUUCGGGUUGUAAACCGCUUUCGCCUGUGACGAAGCGUGAGUGACGGUAAUGGGUAAAGAAGCACCGGCUAACUACGUG